rnacentral:misc_RNA from 1 species
GAUGAAGAACGUAGUGAAAUGCGAUACGUAAUGUGAAUUGCAAAUUCAGUGAAUCAUCGAGUCUUUGAACGCACAUUGCGCCCCCUGGUAUUCCGGGGGGCAUGCCUGUCCGAGCGUCAUUGCUGCCCUCAAGCACGGCUUGUGUGUUGGGCCCCGUCCUCCGAUCCCGGGGGACGGGCCCGAAAGGCAGCGGCGGCACCGCGUCCGGUCCUCGAGCGUAUGGGGCUUUGUCACCCGCUCUGUAGGCCCGGCCGGCGCUUGCCGAUCAACCCAAAUUUUUAUCCAGGUUGACCUCGGAUCAGGUAGGGAUACCCGCUGAACUUAAGCAUAUCAAUAAGCGGAGA